AAACAAACCCGCAUACUUAUGGUUGCCGUCAGAUGAAUCCAAUCCUUGGUCUCUGCAACGUGCAGAUGAAGAAGUUAAUCCAGUUGUUGAAUUGGCCAGAAAAAUGAGAAAAAUUGGAGACAAGCUGUAUUUGAAAUAUCUUCUUGCCAAGUUGAUAUCCCAUUUUGAAGAUCCUCAGAAUAUUUCCUUAAAAAGGAUGUGAGGUGAAAUGGGAACCAUGAGGAGCUUUUUGAUGAAUGCUCAUAAGAAUAUUCAUAGUAGAAAAAAAUUCCGAGGCUUAUGUCAUUCUUCUCAAUCAAAAUCAAGAGCAAGAUAAAAAGCCAAAAAGGAUGCUGGAACCUGGAAGCUUUCUUGUUUCAGCAUUUUUCACUGUGCAGCAUCAAUACUGGUACAGAUGUCUAUUUCCGGAACAGUGUGUCUCAGCUUCUUAACAGGAUUUCUGCUGUGUGCCAGAUAAAUGUGGUUCAAUCUGUAUACAUCAAAAGACCAUGUGCAUUUCCAAUUAAAUUGUGUUGGUAAACAAGCCACAUUUUGUCUGGCUUCUCCCUGAAACGACAGAUUGCUUGGACUGACUUGGUUUCUUUUAGAAGAGUAUUUGUAGAUUUAACGAAUUGUUAUGCCCUCUAAUCUGUGAUGUGCUAUGUGAAUUUGUUAACUAUGUAUGACAUUUAUUCAGUGUUGGAUCUGUUACUGCAUUAAACUUAUCAAGCCUCCA